GUGCUCGCUUUGGUAGCUCAUAUACUAAAAUUUGCAGAGAAGAUAACAUCGGCCCUGCGCAAGUAUGACACACGAAUUUGGAAGCAUUCCAUAUUUAA
rnacentral:snRNA from 1 species